rnacentral:rRNA from 1 species
UACGAAGGGGGCGAGCGUUGUUCGGAAUUACUGGGCGUAAAGGGCGCGUAGGCGGCCGAUCAAGUCAGAUGUGAAAGUCCUGGGCUUAACCUGGGGACUGCAUUUGAUACUGAUUGGCUUGAAUUCGGGAGAGGAUAGCGGAAUUCCCAGUGUAGAGGUGAAAUUCGUAGAUAUUGGGAAGAACACCGGUGGCGAAGGCGGCUAUCUGGACCGACAUUGACGCUGAGGCGCGAAAGCCAGGGGAGCAAACGGG